AUACGGGUGAUAAAGCUGUCAGGGAUUCAAUUAAGUGAUGAUGAUGAGCGAUGAUGUGGUUGCAAAAUUGAGUUGGCGUGGAACGAGCAGUAAGCCGAGUGUUCAGGAAUUCAAUAUAACGAAAUUUACAACAAGUGUCUGCCAUUCUAAAUUUCCUAAAGCUGAUGAUGGAGGAAUAAAUUAGGUAUUACAACAACAUUUUGUUCAUGCUGGUGACCGUCUUAGAAUUCAAAUUUAUAUUUUAUUUGUUAUUUAAAGUUUACAAAAAAUGCCAAUAUAAAACGAAUAACUAUUUUUUAGACAUUUUAGGAUCAAUUCAAA